rnacentral:rRNA from 1 species
GACAGAGGGGGCAAGCGUUGUCCGGAUUGACUGGGUUUAAAGGGUGCGUAGGUGGGCAGUUAAGUCAGUGGUGAAAUCUCCGAGCUUAACUCGGAAACUGCCAUUGAUACUAUCUGUCUUGAAUAUCCUGGAGGUGAGCGGAAUAUGUCAUGUAGCGGUGAAAUGCUUAGAUAUGACAUAGAACACCAAUUGCGAAGGCAGCUCACUACGGGAUUAUUGACACUGAGGCACGAAAGCGUGGGGAUCAAACAGG